rnacentral:rRNA from 1 species
CGGAAAAGGGGCGCAGCCUGAUGCAGCCAUGCCGCGUGUAUGAAGAAGGCCUUCGGGUUGUAAAGUACUUUCAGCGAGGAGGAAGGCAUUAAGGUUAAUAACCUUAGUGAUUGACGUUACUCGCAGAAGAAGCACCGGCUAACUCCGUGCCAGCAGCCGCGGUAAU